ACAUCAGUCGCCGCGGUAACACGUAGGGUGCAAGCGUUAAUCGGAAUUACUGGGCGUAAAGCGUGCGCAGGCGGUUCGGAAAGAAAGAUGUGAAAUCCCAGGGCUUAACCUUGGAACUGCAUUUUUAACUCCCGGACUAGAGUAUGUCAGAGGGGGGUGGAAUUCCACGUGUAGCAGUGAAAUGCGUAGAUAAGUGGAGGAACACCGAUGGCGAAGGCAGCCCCCUGGGAUAAUACUGACGCUCAUGCACGAAAGCGUGGGGAGCAAACAGGAUUAGAUACCCCCGUAGUCCCUGUCUCUUAUAC
rnacentral:rRNA from 1 species